UCCCCCUCCUCCUCUCCCUCUUCCCCCCUCCUCCCAUUCCUAGUCUCCCUCCUGGCUCCUCCCUUUCCUUCCUUCUACUCCCCCUUCUCCUUCCAGCCCUCCCCUCCUCCCUUCCAGCCUCCUCUCCCUCCCCCAUCCACUCUUCCUUCUUCCUUCUCCCUGCUCCCCUCUCCUCUGCUUCCUCCGUUUCUCCUUCCCCCUCCUCCCCUCCCCUCGGUGCUAACAGCUGUAAUUGCUGUUUCUCCCACCUCCCUAACAAGCACGGGACCCUCCGAGCAGAGCCGCCCGCAGUUCCGCUCAGUAAUCGCCUCCAUGGUAAAUCCCCACAAUUGGGCUGGGCAGGAGCCGUUGGCUUCGCGCUCUCCCUCCUGCUCGCUUUAAGCAAAACCAAACAAAACGUUUCUGUUAUUACUGAACUCCCUGGGCGCCAGGAGGUGAGAGGGUGGCAUUUCCCAAGGAUGGAAUUGGAGGGGGAGCCUCCUCCAGCCCCUCAUCACCUCACCUCUGCCUGGAGGCAGAUCCAAGGCUCUUACCCCCCAGAGAGGGCGCCUCUCAUUCCCUGGAGAAAAACCAAAGAACCACCCGCCCCCAGCUCUCAGAGGGGAAUAGAAGAUGGAGGAGUUUGGUCAAGGACUUUCAACUUCAGGAAGGAGCUCAACGCAGCCAGCACCUUGAUCGGCACCGUGGGAGAAGGUGGAAAGAGGACCCAGUCAAGCCACUCCUGAGCCACGGAAGCCGGGAGACAGUGCCUGCGUGUUGCUGUAAGCUGCCACAGGAAACCAGGAAACUUAUCAAGCACCCGCUUUCCAGAUGGGGAAAUCAAGGACCGGAGUUUCAAGGGAAUUCUCCUAGAGAACCCAGAGGGGUUCUCAUCACCGUCCGUAAUGCCAUAUUUUCUCCUGGAAGUUUUUGGCUUUGUACCUAUUCUUCUCUCUCCUGGACUAUGAACUUUGAGGAGGCAGGGGCCCGAUCUGUCCCGGCCGGUGGCCCCAGCAUCCAGCACAGAGCCUGGGGCACAGCAGGUGCAUGGUGACUGGGGGCUGGGUGAGUGAGUGAGUGAAUGAAUGAAUGCAUGAAUGAAGGAGUGAAUGCACAGAGGCCCCUGCCUUCCUGCCUCCCCGUCGCCAUGAGAGAAAGGAAGCAAAAUUUCAAACAACUCAAAGAUGUAUCAGCCUGGAGCCGCGGGAAACACCAGCUCCCCUGGCAGGGUGCAUCGACCCACGGUGGGGCGGGCAGGCGUCCGGCUUUGUGCAGGCGGAGGUAGGAGGGCUCGAGAUGGGGAGGGGGGCUGCACCAACCCGCUCGGUGGCGAUCAAAACGCGCCCCCACUCCCUGCCUGGGCUUCAGCGGCCAAGUGCAUGGGGUCUGCCGAUGGAGGCUGCGGGGGCUGGAGGGGGGCGAACAGCUUCUGCAGCGGCCAGGACAGAAAAGCUCUCUCUCCCGACACACAAAAGCAGGAAGGCCACAUUAAGCCCAUUAUCAAUAUUUUGCCUGGAAAAAAUACAAAAAGCAUUUUCUUCUCUGAAAAAUUAAUAACCUCGAAAGGUGGGGAGGCUGGGUUUGAUGUCUGGUGAGUGGAGGGGGGGGUUGGUGAGGCUUUGCUUUCUGCCUCCCUCGCCGCUCGCCCCGUGGGUGCCUGGGUCCCUCUGGGCAGGCCCGGCUCCUCCAGCCCACCUCCAACUGCCACCACCUGCUCCUAGUCCUGGCUGAGGCCCCAGCAAACCUUGGGCUGUGAGCCGGGCUCACCAGCCUGGCUCCAAGCCUGGGUCUUCCAGAUCCACCAUUACAGUCCCCUCUGAGGAGGUGGCAUCCCCCAACCUGAGCCCAGGUGUCAGCCCCUCUCGACUCUGUCCACAUGGGCCAUGUUCUCCUAGCUCUUGCUAAGAAACUCCUACUCUACCUGCAGAACCCAGCUUCAAUGCCCACUCUACCGCAGGGCCUUUACUUCCUCUUCCCCUAGACUCAGGUCUCUCCCUCUGGCCCAGUUCUGGGUCCCUUGUCUUCCCUGACCCUGGGGGGGCUUCCUGGGGGCUCUGGCUCUCUUCCAGGACCUCAGCAACACCCUGCACAGUGCACCAUUAUAAUUUGGAGAAUGGAUGGGGCUCCUUUUUUUUAUUUUUUUGAGACGAAGUUUCACUCUUGUUGCCCAGGCUGGAGUGCAAUGGCACGAUCUCAGCUCACCACAACCUCUGCCUCCCGGGUUCAAGCGAUUCUCCUGCCUCAGCCUCCAGAGUAGCUGGGAUUACAAGCGCCUGCGACCACGCCCAGCUAAUUUUUUGUAUUUUUAGUAGAGACGGGGUUUGUCCAUGCUUGCCAGGCUAGUUUCGAACUCCUGACCUCAGGUGAUCCGCCUGCCUUGGACUCCCAAAGUGCUGGAAUUACAGGCGUGAGCUGCCGCGCCUGACUGGGGCUCCUUUUGGUGGGUGGAAGUCUUCCUUGGAAGCCCCCUUCCCUCCUGGCCUCCUCUUGCCCAUGAGGCCCUUCAUCCUGGAGAGAAGAUUCUGGAAUCUGGCUGGUGGGAGGGGCAUAAUUCUUCUCAGGCCUCAGGUUCCAUUUUAAUAAAACUAGGGGGUUGGAUCUGAUUUUAAAUUUUGAAAUGAUUUAUUGGCUCAUUUCCCCCAACUCUUCCUGAGCUCUUUCUUAGAGACAGGAUCUGCCUCUGUCGCCCAGGCUGGAGUGCAGUGGCGCAAUCUUGGC
rnacentral:lncRNA from 1 species